rnacentral:rRNA from 1 species
AUGUUGACUCGGAGACCUCCUGCGAGAGCAGGAAGAGAUCAAGGAGAAGCAGUCACAAUCGCUCGAGUGGGAAGAAAAGCAAGGGAUCCGAUUUCUGCGGCUCCGGUCAAGUACGGCGGCGCGCUCCGGCCGGGGGAGGGCGACGCCAUGGCGCAGUUCGUGCAGCAGGGGAAGCGGAUCCCGCGGCGCGGCGAGGUGGGCCUGUCCGCCGAGGAGAUCCAGAGGUUCGAGGAGGCCGGGUACGUGAUGAGCGGGAGCAGGCACUCGAGGAUCACCGCCGUGCGCCUCCGGAAGGAGAACCAGGUGUACAGCGCCGAGGAGAAGCGCGCGCUCGCGACCUUCAACUACGAGCAGAGGGCGAUGCGGGAGAGCAAGGUCAGGGACGAUCUCAGGCGCCUCGUGGACAGGACGCUCGGCAAACUCGCCGAGACAGAGCAUGACCCGUUCGCCAUGCCUCCUUCACGUUAG